rnacentral:rRNA from 1 species
UUGAAAGGGAAACGAUUGAAGUCAGUCGUACCGACGAGAAAUCAGCUUAUCGUGUGUUAACUUGUGGGCGUGCGUGAGUUUCGGCCUCGCUGUUUGCAUGUUUGUGCGCUUUGGGUGUACUUUUUCGUAUGGUUGGCCAACAUCAGUUUCGAUCACUAUAAAAUGACUGGCGGAAUGUAGCUUCGAUUUCGGUUGAAGUGUUAUAGCCUCUGGUAGAUGUGGUAAUUGGGACUGAGGAUUGCAACGAAUAUCCUUUGGGCUAUCCGUCUGGCCUCUGAAAGUUGCUUGGGUGCUGAAAGCUUGCUUAUGGUUAUCUAAGUUAACGGUCAAUAGGUUAGAACGUGAUUACAUUCGUUAAGGAUGUUGACGUA